rnacentral:rRNA from 1 species
UACGAAGGGGGCUAGCGUUGCUCGGAAUCACUGGGCGUAAAGGGCGCGUAGGCGGCGUUUUAAGUCGGGGGUGAAAGCCUGUGGCUCAACCACAGAAUGGCCUUCGAUACUGGGACGCUUGAGUAUGGUAGAGGUUGGUGGAACUGCGAGUGUAGAGGUGAAAUUCGUAGAUAUUCGGAGGAACACCAGUGGCGAAGGCGGCUCACUGGUCCAUUACUGACGCUGAGGUGCGAAAGCGUGGGGAGCAAACAGG